rnacentral:rRNA from 1 species
AUUGAACGCUGGCGGCAGGCCUAACACAUGCAAGUCGAACGGUAACAGGAAGCAGCUUCUGCUUUGCUGACGAGUGGCGGACGGGUGAGUAAUGUCUGGGAAACUGCCUGAUGGAGGGGGAUAACUACUGGAAACGGUAGCUAAUACCGCAUAACGUCGCAAGACCAAAGAGGGGGACCUUCGGGCCUCUUGCCAUCGGAUGUGCCCAGAUGGGAUUAGCUAGUAGGUGGGGUAACGGCUCACCUAGGCGACGAUCCCUAGCUGGUCUGAGAGGAUGACCAGCCACACUGGAACUGAGACACGGUCCAGACUCCUACGGGAGGCAGCAGUGGGGAAUAUUGCACAAUGGGCGCAAGCCUGAUGCAGCCAUGCCGCGUGUAUGAAGAAGGCCUUCGGGUUGUAAAGUACUUUCAGCGGGGAGGAAGGGAGUAAAGUUAAUACCUUUGCUCAUUGACGUUACCCGCAGAAGAAGCACCGGCUAACUCCGUG